UACGUAGGGCGCAAGCGUUGUCCGGAAUUAUUGGGCGUAAAGAGCUCGUAGGCGGCCAGUUGCGUCUGCUGUGAAAUCCCGGGGCUCAACCCCGGGCGUGCAGUGGAUACGGGCUGGCUAGAGGCAGGCAGGGGAGAACGGAAUUCCCGGUGUAGCGGUGAAAUGCGCAGAUAUCGGGAGGAACACCGGUGGCGAAGGCGGUUCUCUGGGCCUGUACUGACGCUGAGGAGCGAACGCGUGGGGAGCGAACAGG
rnacentral:rRNA from 1 species